rnacentral:rRNA from 1 species
GAUGAACGCUAGCUACAGGCUUAACACAUGCAAGUCGAGGGGUAGCAGGGUAGCAAUACCGCUGACGACCGGCGCACGGGUGAGUAACACGUAUCCAACCUACCAUUCACACGGGGAUAGCCUUUCGAAAGAAAGAUUAAUACCCGAUAGUAUAGCGAGAGGGCAUCCUUUUGCUAUUAAAGAAUUUCGGUGUUUGAUGGGGAUUCGUUCCAUUAGAUUGUUGGUGAGGUAACGGCUCACCAAGUCUUCGAUGGAUAGGGGUUCUGAGAGGAAGGUCCCCCACAUUGGAACUGAGACACGGUCCAAACUCCUACGGGAGGCAGCAGUGAGGAAUAUUGGUCAAUGGACGAGAGUCUGAACCAGCCAAGUAGCGUGAAGGAUGAAGGCCCUAUGGGUCGUAAACUUCUUUUAUAGGGGAAUAAAGUGCGGAACGUGUUCCGCUUUGUAUGUACCCUACGAAUAAGGAUCGGCUAACUCCGUGCCAGCAGCCGCAGUAA